AUUGAACGCUGGCGGCAUGCCUUGCACAUGCAAGUCGAACGGCAGCACGGGUGCUUGCACCUGGUGGCGAGUGGUGAACGGGUGAGUAAUACAUCGGAACAUGUCCUGUAGUGGGGGAUAGCCCGGCGAAAGCCGGAUUAAUACCGCAUACGAUCCACGGAUGAAAGCGGGGGACCUUCGGGCCUCGCGCUAUAGGGUUGGCCGAUGGCUGAUUAGCUAGUUGGUGGGGUAAAGGCCUACCAAGGCGACGAUCAGUAGCUGGUCUGAGAGGACGACCAGCCACACUGGGACUGAGACACGGCCCAGACUCCUACGGGAGGCAGCAGUGGGGAAUUUUGGACAAUGGGCGAAAGCCUGAUCCAGCAAUGCCGCGUGUGUGAAGAAGGCCUUCGGGUUGUAAAGCACUUUUGUCCGGAAAGAAAUCCUUGACUCUAAUACAGUCGGGGGAUGACGGUACCGGAAGAAUAAGCACCGGCUAACUACGUG
rnacentral:rRNA from 1 species